UGAAUGAUCUUUCCGUAGGAAGAAAAAGAGAAAAGAAAGGUGGUCAAUUUUUUUAAUCUAUUUUACAGUGAAGUUUGGCUCCCCAUCUUCUUCUUCUGACUCUUAAUAUUCUUCUAGGGAUUGGCACCAACUUGGCGUUGUUUCGGUUCUAUAAGUAAACCUCCCCCUCUUCAACCCUUUCCUCCCCUAAAAACCUACCUCUGUUCUCCUCCUGCUCCUGCUUCUUCCUCCUCCUCUUAUUCCUCCUCCAUUGUUGCUCAAUCCAUCCUUUUGGGGAUGUCAGGAAUAGAUGGUGAGAAAGAUCUACGGCUUAGAUGUAGCUUUAGACUCUUAGAUAGAGAGAGGAAGAUGGAAGAAUGUUUUGGGGUGUUGGCAUAUGCUUCUCUUUGUACUUUUCCACAGCUUUCUUGAACUGCAGUUCAGGUUGGUUCUUAUAAUUAAGAGGGCCUUUGCUCAGUUGCGGUUCAAUAAAGCUGUGGGAAGAUACAGAGAGAGUCAAAAAGAAGAAAAAGAUCCGAGAAGAAGAAGGAGAAUUCAUCCCUUUCCCUCGCAGACACGUGCUUGUUUCAAGUUUUCAACACAUCUUCCACGGGGAUCACGAGAUUCAUGAAGAUGGUGGCAGACGACGAGGGACAUUAAUAUGGAACGAGUCUUGCAGUUGCAGGCACCAACAAAGGGUAACGUUGAGUCUCUGAUUCCGAGACGUUGACUGUAACAAUAGUUAUUACUUGUUACUCAGAGGGGACUGCAAUUAACCAAAUCGUUCAGAAUUCAGAUCUGCAGAGAAAAAGAGAGAGAGAGAGAGAGAAAGACUAUUCUGCUAGCACUGACUACAGGGAAUCAUUGGAUUCUGUUGUACUUUGUUGGGUAUGUUACCCUGAUGUUCAGGCGAAGCAGCAUCUACAUGGAAAGAGAGAGAGAGAAGGGAGGCAUCGGUCCUCAUGAAGGCGGGAGGAUGGUAUGAAGCAUCAUUCUUUUUGUCACCUAUGCCGCUUUCUGUAAACAAAGCAAAUAUUUCUUAGCCACCAUCCAUGGUGGCUUAUCAUACUUUAUACUGUUGCGGCAGAUGACUCAUAAUACAUAUACACAAUAUCGUCAUCAUUUGCAUCAUCUGCCAUGUUAGAGGUGGUCAACCUUUUCCUUCCUUAAUUUCCAGACUAUAUAAUUGUAUUCAGCUAAUCAAUGUUCAUAAGGAAUGAUAAGAGAAGAUGAAUGGGAAGAUUCACUAGUGCUGUGAAUCUGCUUUAGCCUGGCAUGGAGAGGCUGCAGCAUGAGAUCUUCUUAGGAAGGUUUUUGAUAUCGUGCCAUGAUUAGAAAGAAGAAACCUGCAGCAAUAUAUCUUCUUUAGUGAAAGUGAAACUAACAGUGAUUUUUGUUCAUGAACAUGUCGUGCCCUUUGAUGUAAUAAACUUUCCCAUUUGUUUAGCCUAAUCGCUCGUGUAAAGCCUACUCCACUAGCUUUUUUCUUGAUACGAUUGAGGUCUUAAAUUUAUCUCCA